CCUACGGGAGGCAGCAGUGGGGAAUAUUGCACAAUGGGGGAAACCCUGAUGCAGCGACGCCGCGUGAGUGAAGAAGCGCCUCGGCGCGUAAAGCUCUGUCAGCAGGAACGAUAAUGACGGUACCUGAAGAAGAAGCCCCGGCUAACUACGUGCCAGCAGCCGCGGUAAUACGUAGGGGGCAAGCGUUAUCCGGAUUUACUGGGUGUAAAGGGAGCGUAGACGGCGGGGCAAGUCUGGAGUGAAAGGCCGGGGCCCAACCCCGGGACCGCUCUGGAAACUGCCCGGCUGGAGUGCGGGAGAGGUAAGCGGAAUUCCUAGUGUAGCGGUGAAAUGCGUAGAUAUUAGGAGGAACACCAGCGGCGAAGGCGGCUUACUGGACCGUGACUGACGUUGAGGCUCGAAAGCGUGGGGAGCAAACAGGAUUAGAUACCCCAGUAGUC
rnacentral:rRNA from 1 species